rnacentral:lncRNA from 1 species
AUGCUGAGUUUAAAGCCAACAAUUGUUGUUUUUUGGAUCUAUUAUUGUUUGAUACAAGUCUCAGGAACGGAUAUCAAAAACAUUACCUGUCAUGACAUAAAGACCAACAAUGGAUACAAGUAUACACAUAACUGUGUUGACAAAGAGAUAUCUGUCAUCAAUUUAGCGGACAAUAUAGUCAUUGCUAAUAUUGACAGAAAUGAGCAACAGAAGUUGGACUAUGUAAAAGAAAUUAACGAAACACACAUUAUAUUGAAGACGUGCCUCUCAAUCAAAGUGGAAUGCUCGAGUAAUGGCGUCAGCGGAUAUACGUCAAAGACAACCAUUUUUCGGGUGUCUAAAACUAAAGAAAGGGAGGGCAAUUCUACGAGCACAGAUGUGUUACCAUGGAUCAUUGGCAUUUUAGUUACAAUCCUGAUCAUCAUACUUUCCAUGUGUUGCAUCUGUUGCAUCUAUUGUUGGUGGAAAAAAUCAAAGAAGCAGAAUUUGCCGCUAACCUUUAGUGGUUUUAUGACGUAUCUACGAACUGGCUUUUGCUUCCGAACACGUUCUUUGCCUGAGAGUGGAAGCAACCAUUCGCUGGGAUCUUACUCUAGGCGUGAAGUCCAAGGGGUCUCAGCAGAUUUGGAAGAAACUGGACAGAAUGGAGGGAUCAGAACUCCACGUGAACAUGGUGAAAAUGAUCCGGAGCACGUUAACAGACCCGAAAGUGUGCAAAUUCACAGAUCUUACUCUGGGUGUGAAGUCCAAGUGGUCUCAGCAGAUUUGGAAGAAACUGGACAGAAUGGAGAGAUCGGAACUCCACGUGAACAUGGUGAAAAUGAUCCGGAGCACGUUAACAGACCCGAAAGUGUGCAAAUUCACAGUAUUGAUUUCCAGUCUGAUGGCAACACAGCUCGACCCCGUUGUCUGGAGUCCAGCUUAAGCAAUAAGCACAUGCUGCCAACUGAAAAGGACUUGGACUUGGAUGAUGAGGAAGAGCAACAGGCUGAAAGGCGAUUGCUGCUGUCGGAUCAGGGAGGUGCCAUAUCAUGUGGAACGAUGGCAUUGGUCUCCAACCCUCCCUCUGAUACUGAUGUGCCCAAACGGGCAUCCACAGCAGCCGUAAGACUCAGAUUUGAAUCAUUUCAUCUUUUUUACACAUUAUCGCUGUUUUUUUUGUUUGUUUGUUGUUUUUUUAACGUAUUGACCCUCCUUCCUUUUCCUUUUAUUCCAGGCUUGACGUGGAGGCAACACACUACAUACAGUACCUACAAGUUAUAUAUUAUAUAGAUACAUACAAUGAAUAACAGAUUAUAUAUAGCAUAUAAAUAUUAUUAUAAAUAUUUACAUGAAUACAUGUAAAACAUUAUAUCAUUAAUAAAUAAGCUGUAUGUGGGGUUUUAGAUGACA